CCAGCCACAUGAGGUCUAGCAUUGUCUUGCAUUAGGAGGAACCCAGGGCCAACCGCACCAGCAUAUGGUCUCACAAGGGGUCUGAGGAUCUCAUCUCGGUACCUAAUGGCAGUCAGGCUACCUAUGGCGAGCACAUGGAGGGCUGUGCGGCCCCCCAAAGAAAUGUCACCCCACACCAUUACUGACCCACUGCCAAACCGGUCAUGCUGGAGGAUGUUGCAGGCAGCAGAACGU